GUAGGGAAUAUUGCACAAUGGGCGAAAGUCUGAUGCAGCAACGCCGCGUGCGCGAUGAAGGCCUUCGGGUCGUAAAGCGCUUUUCUGAGGGAAGAGAAAGGACUGUACCUCAGGAAUAAGUCUCGGCUAACUACGUGCCAGCAGCCGCGGUAAUACGUAGGAGGCAAGCGUUAUCCGGAUUUACUGGGCGUAAAGCGCGUGCAGGUGGUUUGGUAAGUUGGAUGUGAAAUCUCCUGGCUCAACCGGGAGGAGUCGUUCAAAACUGCCAGACUCGAGGACGGUAGAGGAGAGUGGAAUUCCCGGUGUAGUGGUGAAAUGCGUAGAUAUCGGGAGGAACACCAGUGGCGAAAGCGGCUCUCUGGGCCGUUCCUGACACUCAGACGCGAAAGCGUGGGUAGCGAACGGGAUUAGAAACCCCAGUAGUCC
rnacentral:rRNA from 1 species